rnacentral:rRNA from 1 species
AAAGUUCCCUUCGGGGAGCAAGUAGAGUGGCGCACGGGUGAGUAACACGUAGGUAAUCUACCUUUGGAUUGGGAAUAACAACCGGAAACGGUUGCUAAUACCGAAUAAUGCAGCGGCACCUAAUGGUGACAGUUGUUAAAGCGGGGGAUCGCAAGACCUCGCGUCUGAAGAGGAGCCUGCGGCAGAUUAGCUAGUUGGUAGGGUAACGGCUUACCAAGGCUAUGAUCUGUAGCCGGCCUGAGAGGGCGGUCGGCCACACUGACACUGACAUACGGGUCAGACUCCUACGGGAGGCAGCAGUCGGGAAUUUUGGGCAAUGGGCGAAAGCCUGACCCAGCAACGCCGCGUGAAGGAUGAAAUCCUUCGGGAUGUAAACUUCGCAAGAACGGGAAGAAUAAGCCGGUGCAAAUAUCACCGGCGAUGACGGUACUGUUUGUAAGCUCCGGCUAACUCCGUGCCAGCAGCCGCGGUAAUACGGGGGGAGCAAGCGUUGUUCGGAUUUACUGGGCGUAAAGGGCGCGUAGGCGGCCACCGCAAGUCAGUUGUGAAAUCUCUGGGCUUAACCCAGAAAGGUCAACUGAUACUGCGGGGCUAGAGUGCAGAAGGGGCAACUGGAAUUCUCGGUGUAGCGGUGAAAUGCGUAGAUAUCGAGAGGAACACCUGCGGCGAAGGCGGGUUGCUGGGCUGACACUGACGCUGAGGCGCGAAAGCUAGGGGAGCGAACGGGAUUAGAUACCCCGGUAGUCCUAGCCUUAAACGAUGAAUGCUUGGUGUCUGGGGUUUUAUAGUCCCCGGGUGCCGUCGCUAACGCUUUAAGCAUUCCGCCUGGGGAGUACGGUCGCAAGACUGAAACUC